rnacentral:rRNA from 1 species
CGUGCUAUACAUGCAAGUCGAGCGGACAGAAGGGAGCUUGCUCCCGGAUGUUAGCGGCGGACGGGUGAGUAACACGUGGGUAACCUGCCUGUAAGACUGGGAUAACUCCGGGAAACCGGAGCUAAUACCGGAUAGUUCCUUGAACCGCAUGGUUCAAGGAUGAAAGACGGUUUCGGCUGUCACUUACAGAUGGACCCGCGGCGCAUUAGCUAGUUGGUGGGGUAAUGGCUCACCAAGGCGACGAUGCGUAGCCGACCUGAGAGGGUGAUCGGCCACACUGGGACUGAGACACGGCCCAGACUCCUACGGGAGGCAGCAGUAGGGAAUCUUCCGCAAUGGACGAAAGUCUGACGGAGCAACGCCGCGUGAGUGAUGAAGGUUUUCGGAUCGUAAAGCUCUGUUGUUAGGGAAGAACAAGUGCGAGAGUAACUGCUCGCACCUUGACGGUACCUAACCAGAAAGCCACGGCUAACUACGUGCCAGCAGCCGCGGUAAUACGUAGGUGGCAAGCGUUGUCCGGAAUUAUUGGGCGUAAAGGGCUCGCAGGCGGUUUCUUAAGUCUGAUGUGAAAGCCCCCGGCUCAACCGGGGAGGGUCAUUGGAAACUGGGAAACUUGAGUGCAGAAGAGGAGAGUGGAAUUCCACGUGUAGCGGUGAAAUGCGUAGAGAUGUGGAGGAACACCAGUGGCGAAGGCGACUCUCUGGUCUGUAACUGACGCUGAGGAGCGAAAGCGUGGGGAGCGAACAGGAUUAGAUACCCUGGUAGUCCACGCCCGUAAACGAUGAGUGCUGAAGUGUUAGGGGUUUCCGCCCCUUAGUGCUGCAGCUAACGGCAUUAA